AUAUUUGAAAUGGACUCAAUAAACGCCUUAAAAAAGAAAGAAAAGGCUCACCCAGGUCGAGGCCCAGCCAUUGCACUCCGGCUGGCUGACGCCUGCGAAUUCCCCAAACGUGGGAAUCUCGACUGCAUAAUUUCUGGUAGUGGGGGACUGCGUUCGCGCUCUCCCCUG